AUACGGAGGGUGCAAGCGUUGUUCGGAAUUACUGGGCGUAAAGCGCGCGUAGGCGGUCUGUUAUGUCAGAUGUGAAAGUCCUCGGCUCAACCGGGGAAGUGCAUUUGAAACUGGCAGACUUGAGUACUGGAGGGGGUGGCGGAAUUCCCGGUGUAGAGGUGAAAUUCGUAGAUAUCGGGAGGAAUACCGGUGGCGAAGGCGACCACCUGGCCAGAUACUGACGCUGAGGUGCGAAAGCGUGGGGAGCAAACAGGAGUAGAAACCCCGGUAGUCC
rnacentral:rRNA from 1 species